rnacentral:rRNA from 1 species
UACGUAGGGGGCUAGCGUUGUCCGGAUUUAUUGGGCGUAAAGAGCGUGUAGGCGGCCAUGUAGGUCCGGUGUGAAAACUCGAGGCUUAACCUCGAGAUGUCAUCGGAAACCAUUUGGCUAGAGUCCGGAAGAGGAGAGUGGAAUUCCUGGUGUAGCGGUGAAAUGCGCAGAUACCAGGAAGAACACCAAUGGCGAAAGCAGCUCUCUGGGACGGUACUGACGCUGAGACGCGAAAGCGUGGGGAGCGAACAGG